rnacentral:rRNA from 1 species
GCUGGAAAUAGCUGGUUCCUCCUGAAACUAAUCGCAGUUAGACCUCGGUGGAGGUAGACCGUGUGGUAGAGCACUGAUCGGGGGCUUAGGGGGAGAAAUCCCUCGGUCCCCUGUCAAACUCCGAACAUGUGGUCACCGUAGAAGCCGGGAGUGAGGGCAUCCGGGGUAAGCUUGAUGUCCAUCAGGGAACGUAACCCAGCCAAUAAUUAAGGUCCCUAAGUUUCGGUUAAGUGUAAUAACAAAGGGAGUCUGUAGUCCAAGACAACUGGGAGGUGAGCUUAGAAGCAGCCAUCCUUUAAAGAAAGCGUAACAGCUCACCAGUCGAGAUUAUAGGCCCCGAAAAUGGACGGGGCUAAGCCGAACACCGAUAUUAUUGAGCACCGCAAGGUGAUCUGGUAAGGAGGUGACAGGCGUGGGCAGAAGCUAGGCCGUGAGGUCUGGUGGACCGCGUUUGUAUAAGGAUCAUGGCAGGAGUAGCAGCAAAGAAUGGUGAGAAUCCAUUCCGCCGUAGGGGCCAGGGUUCCUCGGCAAUGUUCGUCAGCCGAGGGUUAGCCGAUCCUAAACUACCACUUAAUCGGAAGUAGUGAAAGGGAAACAGGUUAAUAUUCCUGUGCCGCGUCAGAUUUUGCGUCGUUCUUGACACAUCGGGAUAAAUGGAGCAAUCUUGUCUGGUUGUUCAAGUGUAUAAACUGAGGAAGAACCGUAAUGGUGUGAACUUGGUGAAAGCGCGAGUAGGAGGACGAAAGUCCUCUUCCGUCUAUUCCUGGUGUCCGUGAAAAUUGAACGAUUUACACCUGAUGCGUUCGUACCAAGAACCGACACAGGUGCCCCUAGAUGAAAAGUCUAAGGCGUGUCGGCCUAAUCGAUGCGAGGGAACUCGGCAAAUUAGCCCCGUAACUUCGGGAUAAGGGGUGCCAGCCGCGUGAGUGGCUGGUCGCAGUGGCAAGGGAACUCCGACUGUUUAAUAAAAACACAGAUCGCUGCAAGUCCGAAAGGAUGUGUAUAGCGGUUGAAGCCUGCCCAGUGACGGUAUCUGAAACUCGGGUCCAACCGAACGAAGGACCGUUAAACGGCGGGGGUAACUAUGACCCUCUUAAGGUAGCGUAAUACCUUGUCGCUUAAUUGGCGACUUGCAUGAAGGCCCAACGAGAGUUCUACUGUCCCCGCAUCGAAGCCGGUGAAACUAACAGUACUGGUGCACAGUCCAGUAUCUUCCACCUGAAAGCGAAGACCCCAUGGAGCUUUACUGCAACCUGUUGUUGUGAUAUGAAUUUUGAUGUGUAGGGUAGGCGGGAGACGUUACCCAGGAAAUGCCGCUAGGUAUUCUCCGAGUCAACGAUGAAACACCGCCCUUCAGACUUCGUACCACUAACUUCGUCAGAAGGACAGCUAUAGGUAGGCAGUUUGGGUGGGGCGCCACGCGCUCAAAAAGAUAACAAGCGCGCCCAAAGGUCAGCUCAGGCAGGUCAGAAAUCUGCCGUUGAAUGCAAAGGUAAAAGCUGGCUUGACGCGGGUUAGGACAAUAACAAUCCGCGAUACGAAAGUAGGGCUUAGCGAACCACUCAGCCUUCUGAAUGGGGGCGAGUGAUAACAGAAAAGUUACCCUGGGGAUAACUGAGUCGUCGCUAGCAAGAGUUCAUAUCGACCUAGCGGUUUGCUACUUCGCUGUCGGCUCUCCCUAUCCUGGCGGUGCAGCAGCUGCCAAGGGUGGGGUUGUUCGCCCAUUAAAAGGGAUCGUGAGCUGGGUUUAGACCGUCGUGAGACAGGUUUGUUGCUUUUUGGUGGAAGUGUAUUGAUGCCUGACGAGAAGGACCCUUGAGUACGAGAGGAACGGGGGUUCGGUGCCUCUAGUCAAUCAGUUGUCCGACAGGGCAUGCUGAGCAGCCACGCACUACUGGAUAAGAGCUGAAAGCAUCUAAGCUCGAAGCCACCUUGAAAAAGAGGCAUCUUAGGACGCUCAUAAUUGAUGAGCUUGAUAGAAUCGGGAUGUACGCAUCGAGGGCAACCGAGAUGUUCAGUCCGCGGUUACUAACGUCCAUCGCCGCGUAA